AGUCGAACGGGCUCUUCGGAGCUAGUGGCGGACGGGUGAGUAACGCGUGAGAAUCUGCCUUCAGGUCUGGGACAACAGAAGGAAACUUCUGCUAAUCCCGGAUGAGCCCUUGGGUAAAAGAUAAAUUGCCUGGAGAUGAGCUCGCGUCUGAUUAGCUAGUUGGUGUGAUAAAAGCAUACCAAGGCGACUAUCAGUAGCUGGUCUGAGAGGAUGAGCAGCCACACUGGGACUGAGACACGGCCCAGACUCCUACGGGAGGCAGCAGUGGGGAAUUUUCCUCAAUGGGCGAAAGCCUGACGGAGCAAGACCGCCUGGGGGAGGAAAGCUCUAGGGAUGCAAACCCCUUUUCUUUGGGAAGAAGUACUGACGGUACCAAAGGAAUCAGCCUCGGCUAACUCCGUGCCUGCAGCCGCGGCAACACCGAGGAAGCAAGCGUCAUCCGCAAUGAUUGGUCGUAAAGCAUCC
rnacentral:rRNA from 1 species